rnacentral:rRNA from 1 species
ACCCGCUGAACUUAAGCAUAUCAAUAAGCGGAGGAAAAGAAACCAACAGGGAUUGCCUCAGUAACGGCGAGUGAAGCGGCAACAGCUCAAAUUUGAAAUCUGGCCCCAGGCCCGAGUUGUAAUUUGCAGAGGAUGUUUCUGGCGAGGCACUUUCCGAGUUCCCUGGAACGGGACGCCAUAGAGGGUGAGAGCCCCGUACGGUUGGUCGCUAAGCCUCUGUGAAACUCCUUCGACGAGUCGAGUAGUUUGGGAAUGCUGCUCUAAAUGGGAGGUGUACGCCUUCUAAAGCUAAAUACCGGCCAGAGACCGAUAGCGCACAAGUAGAGUGAUCGAAAGAUGAAAAGCACUUUGAAAAGAGGGUUAAACAGUACGUGAAAUUGUUGAAAGGGAAGCGCUCAUGACCAGACCUGGGCCGGUUGAUCAUCCACCGUUCUCGGUGGUGCACUCGGCCGGCUCAGGCCAGCAUCAGUUUGGCUCGGGGGAUAAAGGCUUCGGGAAUGUGGCUCCCCCCGGGGAGUGUUAUAGCCCGUUGCGUAAUACCUUGGGCCGGACUGAGGUUCGCGUUCUGCAAGGAUGCUGGCGUAAUGGUUAU